UCUAAUACCGGAUAAUACUUCCUGCCGCAUGGCGGGGGGUUAAAAGCUCCGGCGGUGAAGGAUGAGCCCGCGGCCUAUCAGCUUGUUGGUGGGGUGAUGGCCUACCAAGGCGACGACGGGUAGCCGGCCUGAGAGGGCGACCGGCCACACUGGGACUGAGACACGGCCCAGACUCCUACGGGAGGCAGCAGUGGGGAAUAUUGCACAAUGGGCGAAAGCCUGAUGCAGCGACGCCGCGUGAGGGAUGACGGCCUUCGGGUUGUAAACCUCUUUCAGCAGGGAAGAAGCGAAAGUGACGGUACCUGCAGAAGAAGCGCCGGCUAACUACGUG
rnacentral:rRNA from 1 species